rnacentral:rRNA from 2 species
UAUAACGGACGCUGAGGCUCGAAAGCAUGGGUUAGCGAACAAGGAUUUAGAUACCCCUGGUAGUCCCAUGCCGUAAACGAUGAAAUGGUUAGGUGUUGGAGGGGUUUCCGCCCUUUCAGUGCCGGCAGGCUAACGCAUUAAAGCAUUCCGCCUGGGGAGGUACGACCGCAAGGUUUGAAACUCAAAAGGAAUUGACGGGGGCCCGCACAAGCGGUGGAGCAUGUGGUUUAAUUUGAAGCAACGCGAAGAACCUUACCAGGUCUUGACAUCUUUUGAUCACCUGAGAGAUCAGGUUUCCCCUUCGGGGGCAAAAUGACAGGUGGUGCAUGGUUGUCGUCAGCUCGUGUCGUGAGAUGUUGGGUUAAGUCCCGCAACGAGCGCAACCCUUAUGACUAGUUGCCAGCAUUUAGUUGGGCACUCUAGUAAGACUGCCGGUGACAAACCGGAGGAAGGUGGGGAUGACGUCAAAUCAUCAUGCCCCUUAUGACCUGGGCUACACACGUGCUACAAUGGAUGGUACAACGAGUUGCAAGACCGCGAGGUCAAGCUAAUCUCUUAAAGCCAUUCUCAGUUCGGACUGUAGGCUGCAACUCGCCUACACGAAGUCGGAAUCGCUAGUAAUCGCGGAUCAGCACGCCGCGGUGAAUACGUUCCCGGGCCUUGUACACACCGCCCGUCACACCAUGAGAGUUUGUAACACCCGAAGCCGGGGGCGUAACCCUUUUAGGGAGCGAGCCGUCUAAGGGGGGACAAAUGAUUAGGUGAAG